AACAUUUGGCUACGGUGCCUAGCGCUUCGCCUAUCACAUUCGCGAAAAGGUGUCGGUGGAUAUAGACAGCAGGACGGUGUCUACGCGAGUCGCGAUCGGUCAGGAGUGUGUAUCAAAUUAUCUGCUGAAUCGAUGGCCUUGAAAAUGGUUAGCACUGGGGCGAUCGACGAAUGCCUGACUGGCCGGGCCACAGGUUGCGCGAUCGCCGGCGAGGCGACUUUCCGAUGCCCGGUCG
rnacentral:ncRNA from 1 species